AGACCCCAAUGAAGAGUGAAUAACAAUAAGGGUAAUUUACAAUAAGUUCUUAAGGUAUAGCAAAACUCACAAGCACCAUAACCCAGAAGGGGAAUGCGUCAGACUGUUACAAAAGAAAUCAAACAGGAAACUAUGGCUCUACAAUGAAAUUGGGCAACCUCUUCUAUGCUAGCCGGGUUUGCACGUGAGUCUGGCUCAAUCCCAGUUCUCUAUUAUGUCACAAAAAACCUUGACAGCCUCUUCUUCACAGCCCCGUGAUCAUUGUGUAUGCAUUACCACAGUCCUCCUUGGCAUCUCAUCAAAAACCUGCUUUGCCUCAAAAAUUAAACCCAUCUUUGGAUACAUAUCCGCUAAAGGACUGCCCAUGAAAACAUAACCUCCAAACCCAAAUUUCUGAGCAACGGAGUUAGCGUCUUUUGCACUCAACGCUUGAUUAGUAUUCAGCAGUCUGCAGUGCCUCGACAAUCCAAAGCGCCAAUCUCCGCCCUUUGGCUGUCACCGUGUUAGGGACGUUGACGCUUUCACCUUCAGCACAAAGACUUGCGUCAAAAGCUUGUGUGUGUGAUUUCCCUCCUUAGAAUAAAGGGAAAAGGAGAGAGGGAGAGGCGGAGAGCUG
rnacentral:misc_RNA from 1 species